GUCACGUCACGGCCGUCAUUGGGAGUAGAAACACAACAUUUGAGGAAAAGCAAACGUUUAAUGUGCCUCUGCUGGGUUAUUGGAGCUUAUUGAGCGCCGUUUAUGUGGAAGUUACUGGAAGACAACAUAAUGAAUGAGGCGCCGCUAGCCGCGCUCGUCAAGCUAGCUGGCGACUUGACCGUUAUAGAUGUGCCAGUUUGAUGUCAAAUACUUCUAAUGUCCUCCAUGUCCUCGCCUGGGAAAGUCAUCCGGAACCUCCUGACGUGUCGCUGGUGUCUGUGGACCACCGAGACUACACACUUCUUCAUCACCCACGGGGUCAAAGGUUAUCUGAACUAGCCCUGCAAACAUGCCUGACUUUCCUUCGUGCUGCUGUCAAUCAUCAAAGUGGCAGCACAAUAAAGACAAGAUGGCCGCUGCUGUCAAUCAUCAAAGUGGCAGCACAAUAAAGACAAGAUGGACGCUGCUGUCAAUCAUCACAGUGGCAGCAGAAUAAAGACAAGAUGGCCGCUGCUGUCAAUCAUCACAGUGGCAGCACAAUAAAGACACAAGAUGGCCGCUGCUGUAUUUGUCUUUAUUUCAUGUCAUCUACUUCCCGCCUUCCUCGUCCUCGGGGUUGUACACGCUGACCGUGAACACACCCGCCUCCGUGCCGUAC